rnacentral:rRNA from 1 species
AGUGAACGCUGGCGGUAGGCCUAACACAUGCAAGUCGAACGGCAGCACAGUAAGAGCUUGCUCUUACGGGUGGCGAGUGGCGGACGGGUGAGGAAUACAUCGGAAUCUACUUUUUCGUGGGGGAUAACGUAGGGAAACUUACGCUAAUACCGCAUACGACCUACGGGUGAAAGCAGGGGAUCUUCGGACCUUGCGCGAUUGAAUGAGCCGAUGUCGGAUUAGCUAGUUGGCGGGGUAAAGGCCCACCAAGGCGACGAUCCGUAGCUGGUCUGAGAGGAUGAUCAGCCACACUGGAACUAAGACACGGUCCAGACUCCUACGGGAGGCAGCAGUGGGGAAUAUUGGACAAUGGGCGCAAGCCUGAUCCAGCCAUACCGCGUGGGUGAAGAAGGCCUUCGGGUUGUAAAGCCCUUUUGUUGGGAAAGAAAAGCAGCAGGUUAAUACCCCGCUGUCCUGACGGUACCCAAAGAAUAAGCACCGGCUAACUUCGUG